UACGUAGGGGGCAAGCGUUGUCCGGAAUCAUUGGGCGUAAAGAGCGCGUAGGCGGCCCUGUAAGUCCGCUGUGAAAGUCAAGGGCUCAACCCUUGGAUGCCGGUGGAUACUGCAGGGCUAGAGUCCGGAAGAGGUGAGUGGAACUCCGAGUGUAGAGGUGAAAUUCGUAGAUAUUCGGAAGAACACCAGUGGCGAAGGCGGCUCACUGGUCCGGUACUGACGCUGAGGUGCGAAAGCGUGGGGAGCAAACAGG
rnacentral:rRNA from 1 species